rnacentral:tRNA from 1 species
GGUUUGUGGCUCAGUGGUAGAGCACUAGCCUAGCAUGUGUGAGGCACUGGGUUCAAUCCUCAGCACCA